GACAAACGCUGGCGGCGUGCAUAAAACAUGCAAGUCGGACGAGCCAAUCUCCGCAAGGGGAAAGGCUAGUGGCGAACGGCUGAGUAACACGUAGGUGAUCUGCCCUGAAGUGGGGGAUAACGACUCGAAAGAGUCGCUAAUACCGCAUGUGACCACCGAUUCGUUUUCGGUGCUCAAAGUACGUAAGACGCUUUAGGAGGAGCCUGCGGCGGAUUAGCUAGUUGGUGAGGUAAGGCCCACCCAAGGCUUCGAUCCGUAGCUGGUCUGAGAGGAUGACCAGCCACACUGGGACUGAGACACGGCCCAGACUCCUACGGGAGGCAGCAGUGGGGAAUCUUGCGCAAAUGGGCGAAAAGCCUGACGCAGCGACGCCGCGUGAGGG
rnacentral:rRNA from 1 species